AUGUGGUGGAGCUCUGAGUGCUGCCCCUGUGUGCAGAGCGUGUAUACAGUUUUCUCAUUCUUCCCGCUCUGCUGGUCACCAGUGUUGAAUGGGCCUGGGUGUGAGUCCCUGUCUGGACAUGGGUUCAAGACUAGGUGUCGGGUCAGCUGGUAUCAGGUGGGCAGGGAGGCCGGCUCUGAGAGCCCCAGAGAUGCGGGAGCUGGGAGCAGGCCAGGGAGCCCCGUAGACUUGGGCUCCCUGGAGGACACAUGGAUGCCAGGCUGGGGGAGGAGCGCCCUUUCCGAGGGCAGGGGAGGCAAGGUGGGGGCUGUCCUUCCCCAACCGUCCCUAGUCCCUGAGCUCUGCACAAGUCAUCCUCCAGGGACCCGGCCACCAGGUGCCCGCCUGCCUGGCUGUGUGGCUGUCCCCCCUCUGACCAGGGGGACAGCCCUCGGGGCAGCAUUCCUGUGGGCUCCCCGGUGCUGGCUCUCAUGUGCGUGUGUGUCUUACAGAUUGGAUAUGAAUGCCCUGAGGUCCCGGAGGGCCCAGGAGCGAGCAGCGCUCAUCAGACAAUAUGAGCAGCUGCAGGGAUGCCGAGGAGCGGCACUGUUGGUGCCCGAAGAAGAGGACGAUGAGGGCGGCUGCCUCGUCCCAGACAGGCUUGGGUUCCUGCAGUGAGUCCUCCGCACCCCAGCUCACCCCAGGGCGGGACUGGGGUCAGAAACCCCAACAUGAGGCGGCACACCUGUCCCCGAGUCCCGACCUUGAGCCCAGCUGUGGUCACAGGCAGGCACUGGUCAGCAUUUGGGGGCAGGAGUCGGACAUGGAGGCUGUUCCCACAGAUGUCGGGAGAGAGGCCCCGUUGCUGGAGGGUGGGCUCCGGUAACCUGGAGAGAUGGAGCCAUCUCGGGCCAUCUCUGGCAUGACUCAGCAGCCCACCUUAGCACGGGGAUAAGAGAUUCUGCCUCCAUGUUGUGCCAGAACCUGGAGAAUAAGCAGGAGCAGAGUGGUGGAGAGAUGGCCAGGGUCCGGGCUGACAGAGGAGGGGUGAGCUCGCGCACAAGACAUCAGGAGGCCAGGGCACAGGGGGGAGGGUGGGCAGUCGCGGACCCUGAGGGGUGUAGGGGUCCCAGGUGCCUCGAGCCCCAGAUGCACACUCACAGCACUGAGCAUCUCUCAGGCAGGUCACUCGGACUCGGUCAGUUCCAGGGUGACCCCAUGGGGAGGAGCUGAUGUGGGGAUAUAGCAGCC
rnacentral:lncRNA from 1 species